AUUGAAAGCCAUAAUGUAGAUGGGAGGAAUGCAAAAUAUAGCUUGAAAGCUUAUCCCAAUUUCCUGUCCGUGUUGCUAGAAUCAAUUGAAAACUUUCACACCGGCGACCCUCCCAAAAACACCCUCAGAACUAGUUUGGCCUGUGCCAAAAAUACAUUCAAUAAACAAAAAAAUAGAAAUAAGAAUGCAACAUAAAUUUAAAUAAUAUUAACAGAAUUGUAUAAAAUUAUAUUCUCACUUAUUUUUGUGAAUCAAA